rnacentral:lncRNA from 1 species
GCACCAAGAAACUAUAAUAUCUGUCCGGUUGAUAUGGUACUCUAAUGGAUCUCCUUAAUGGUGCCUUUACAGGCUUCAAAUUUGAUUUUUCAAUCAAAUUUGAUUCUGUGUGUGCCGGUUCUUCUACCUCAUAAACUUCACCAAGUUCAAUUUUACUGGCAUUAAUUUUUUCUUCAAGAAUUUUUUUUUCAAAAAGACUGUCCUAUUGCUGAUGAAUACAUUUUGUUCUUUAGCGAGGU